CCUACGGGAGGCAGCAGUGAGGAAUAUUGGUCAAUGGGCGCGAGCCUGAACCAGCCACGUAGCGUGAAGGAUGACUGCCCUACGGGUUGUAAACUUCUUUUAUAAAGGAAUAAAGUGAGGCACGUGUCCCUUUUUGUAUGUACUUUAUGAAAAAGGAUCGGCUAACUCCGUUCCAGCAGCCGCGGUAAUACGGAGGAUCCGAGCGUUAUCCGGAUUUAUUGGGUUUAAAGGGAGCGUAGAUGGGUUGUUAAGUCAGUUGUGAAAGUUUGCGGCUCAACCGUAAAAUUGCAAUUGAUACUGGCAGCCUUGAGUGCAGGUGAGGUAGGCGGAAUUCGUGGUGUAGCGGUGAAAUGCUUAGAUAUCACGAAGAACUCCGAUUGCGAAGGCAGCUUACUAAACUGCAACUGACAUUGAUGCUCGAAAGUGUGGGUAUCAAACAGGAUUAGAUACCCCAGUAGUC
rnacentral:rRNA from 1 species